rnacentral:rRNA from 1 species
AUUGAACGCUGGCGGCAGGCCUAACACAUGCAAGUCGAACGAGUGGCGGACGGGUGAGUAAUGUCUGGGAAUCUGCCUGAUGGAGGGGGAUAACUACUGGAAACGGUAGCUAAUACCGCAUACUAUCAGAUGUGCCCAGAUGGGAUUAGCUUGUUGGUGGGGUAAAGGCUCACCAAGGCGACGAUCCCUAGCUGGUCUGAGAGGAUGACCAGCCACACUGGAACUGAGACACGGUCCAGACGCCUACGGGAGGCAGCAGUGGGGAAUAUUGCACAAUGGGCACAAGCCUGAUGCAGCCAUGCCGCGUGUAUGAAGAAGGCCUUCGGGUUGUAAAGUACUUUCAGCGGGGAGGCGUUACCCGCAGAAGAAGCACCGGCUAACUCCGUGCCAGCAGCCGCGGUAAUUC